rnacentral:rRNA from 1 species
CCUACGGGAGGCAGCAGUGGGGAAUAUUGCGCAAUGGGGGAAACCCUGACGCAGCAACGCCGCGUGAAGGAAGAAGGCUUUCGGGUCGUAAACUUUUGUCUUCUGGGAAGAAUAAAUGACGGUACCAGAGGAGGAAGCCACGGCUAACUACGUGCCAGCAGCCGCGGUAAUACGUAGGUGGCGAGCGUUGUCCGGAUUUACUGGGUGUAAAGGGUGCGUAGGCGGGUAUGCAAGUCAGAUGUGAAAUACCGGGGCUCAACUCCGGGGCUGCAUUUGAAACUGCAUAUCUUGAGUGCAGGAGAGGAAAGUGGAAUUCCUAGUGUAGCGGUGAAAUGCGUAGAGAUUAGGAGGAAUACCAGUGGCGAAGGCGACUUUCUGGACUGUAACUGACGCUGAGGCACGAAAGUGUGGGGAGCGAACAGGAUUAGAUACCCUGGUAGUCCACACUGUAAACGAUGGAUACUAGGUGUAGGGGGUAUCGACCCCUUCUGUGCCGGAGUUAACACAAUAAGUAUCCCACCUGGGGAGUACGGCCGCAAGGUUGAAACUCAAAGGAAUUGACGG